AUGUCCGGCAGGUGGCGGGGCCCCGAGUGUCCACCACAUUCUCCUCCCACGGCUGAGCUCGAGCGGGGACGCGGCGAGGGGCGCGGGCUGCGACCGGACCCGCAGGCGCCCGGGCCUCCCCGAAGCCUCGGUCCCGGGGCCCCCUGCCCGGCGCGCAUCCCCGAGUUGGGGACGCAGGCAGCCGUCGCCCGUCCGCAGCCGGAGGGAGGCGCCGCCGCCCUCGGGGCACACCGGGGUCCUCGGCGCUCUCGGGUCCUCGGUCCCCAAGCCCCCACCCCCAGGCGCACCCCCCACCCCCGGGGGCACCCCCGGUCCCCGGGCGCACCCCCGACCCCCGGCGCAGCUCCCGACCCCCGGCGCAGCUCCCGACCCCGGGCGCACCCCCGACCCCGGGCGCAUCUCCCGACCCCGGGCGCACCUCCGACCCCGGGCGCACCCCCGACCCCGGGCGCAUCUCCUGGUCCCGGGCGCACCCCCGACCCCGGGCGCAGCUCCCGGCCCCGGGCGCACCCCCGACCCCAGGAGCAUCUCCCGGCCCCGGGCGCACCCCCGACCCCGGGCGCACCCCCACCCCCGGGCGCAGCUCCCGGCCCCGGGCGCAUCCCCCCCUCCCCAGGCGCAGCGUCCUCCGUCUGCCCCGGCCCCGGGCGCACCCCCGCGGCCCGGCGCACCCCCACCCCGGGCGCAGCUCCCGGGCCCCGGAGAGCAGCUCCCCAGCCCGGGGCAGCCCCUUCACGCCCCGUUCCCCCGAAGUCCGAGCAAGUCCAACUCGCCGCGGCGGCUGCUCCCUGCGGGGACGGCGAGGGACCGCGCGCAGCGCCGGGGGGCGGCUGCCGGAGCGAGCGGACCCCGCACCCCGCGCCCCGCGCCCCGCCCGAGCGCCCCCCUGUACCUGGUUCGGCCGGCGACUCUCCGGGGACGUCGGGUGCAGACUCCUUCGGGGCGGGCGUCCGGCUCACAUCGCUGCCAGCCCCGCCGGCGGCCGGCGUCCCGCGGGGUCCCUGCGCCCCCGCCCCCCACCCCCCGACCCCCUCUCUCCACGGAGUCCCGGCUCUUCCGCCUUCGGGUCUUUGGCAAAGUGUCCGCGCGGCCGCCGAGAGUUGGGCGGCAGUGCCCGGCGCGCCCACCCCGCGGCCGCCGCCCCGCCCCCGCGCCCCCUGCGCCCCCCGCGCCCCGCGCGCCCCCGCGGCCUCCCGCCGGGGACCAGAGCCGCCGGGUCGCGGUCACCGUCCCCCGAGCGCGGCGCGCCGUCCGCCGCCCCCGCCGCGCGCCGUCCCCGGCCCGAGUGGCUGCCGCCCGCCUGCGCCGCGGGUCCUCAUUCCCCUGCUCAUGAAUAUUCCGACAGAGGCUAAUGCCGUGGAAGUAAAUUGA
rnacentral:lncRNA from 1 species